ACGAACGCUGGCGGCGUGCUUAACACAUGCAAGUCGAACGGAAAGGCCCUGCUUUUGUGGGGUGCUCGAGUGGCGAACGGGUGAGUAACACGUGAGUAACCUGCCCUUGACUUUGGGAUAACUUCAGGAAACUGGGGCUAAUACCGGAUAGGAGCUCCUGCUGCAUGGUGGGGGUUGGAAAGUUUCGGCGGUUGGGGAUGGACUCGCGGCUUAUCAGCUCGUUGGUGGGGUAGUGGCUUACCAAGGCUUUGACGGGUAGCCGGCCUGGGAGGGUGACCGGCCACAUUGGGACUGAGAUACGGCCCAGACUCCUACGGGAGGCAGCAGUGGGGAAUAUUGCACAAUGGGCGGAAGCCUGAUGCAGCAACGCCGCGUGCGGGAUGACGGCCUUCGGGUUGUAAACCGCUUUCGCCUGUGACGAAGCGUGAGUGACGGUAAUGGGUAAAGAAGCACCGGCUAACUACGUG
rnacentral:rRNA from 1 species